rnacentral:rRNA from 1 species
AUUGCCUCAGUAACGGCGAGUGAAGCGGCAACAGCUCAAAUUUGAAAUCUGGCCGCAAGGUCCGAGUUGUAAUUUGUAGAGGAUGCUUUUGGCGAGGUGACUUCCGAGUUCCCUGGAACGGGACGCCAUAGAGGGUGAGAGCCCCGUACGGUCGUGCCACCGAGCCUCUGUAAAGCUCCUUCGACGAGUCGAGUAGUUUGGGAAUGCUGCUCUAAAUGGGAGGUGUACGUCUUCUAAAGCUAAAUACCGGCCAGAGACCGAUAGCGCACAAGUAGAGUGAUCGAAAGAUGAAAAGCACUUUGAAAAGAGGGUUAAAAAGUACGUGAAAUUGUUGAAAGGGAAGCAUUCAUGACCAGACUUGGGCUUGGUUGAACAUCCGGCGUUCUCGCCGGUGCACUCUGCCAGCUCAGGCCAGCAUCAGUUUGCCCCGGGGGACAAAGGCGGCGGGAAUGUGGCUCCCCACGGGGAGUGUUAUAGCCCGUCGUGUAAUGCCCUGGGGUGGACUGAGGUUCGCGCUUCGGCACGGAUGCUGGCGUAAUGGUCAUCAAUGACCCGUCUUGAAACACGGACCAAGGAGUCGUCUUCGUAUGCGAGUGUUCGGGUGUCAAACCCCUACGCGUAAUGAAAGUGAACGUAGGUGAGAGCUUCGGCGCAUCACCGACCGAUCCUGAUGUUCUCGGAUGGAUUUGAGUAAGAGCAUACGGGGCCGGACCCGAAAGAAGGUGAACUAUGCCUGUAUAGGGUGAAGCCAGAGGAAACUCUGGUGGAGGCUCGCAGCGGUUCUGACGUGCAAAUCGAUCGUCAAAUAUGGGCAUGGGGGCGAAAGACUAAUCGAACCUUCUAGUAGCUGGUUUCCGCCGAAGUUUCCCUCAGGAUAGCAGUGUUGAACUCAGUUUUAUGAGGUAAAGCGAAUGAUUAGGGACCAGGGGGCGCUAUAUAGCCUUCAUCCAUUCUCAAACUUUAAAUAUGUAAGAAGCCCUUGUUGCUUAAUUGAAC